CUAGAAAGAUUCUGGUUGAUCCUGCCGGCGGGCACCGCUAUUGGAAUGCGAUUAAGCCAUGCGAGUCGAGAGGUGUAAGACCUCGGCACACCGCUCAGUAACACGCGGAUAAUCUGCCCUCAGGUGGAGAAUAAUCUCGGGAAACUGAGAAUAAUGCUCCAUAGGUUUAGUAUGCUGGAAUGCUUCUAAGCUGAAAGCUCCGACGCCUGAGGAUGAGUCUGCGGCCUAUCAGGUUGUAGUGGGUGUAACGGACCCACUAGCCUACGACGGGUACGGGUCAUGAGAGUGAUUGCCCGGAGAUGGGCUCUGAGACAUGAGCCCAGGGUCUACGGACCGCAGCAGGCGCGAAAACUUGGCAAUGCGCUCACGCGCGACCAGGGUAUUCCAAGUGCUGCAGCAUUGCUGCAGCUGUUUUUCUGCCUAAAAAGCAGAGAGAGUAAGGGCCGGGUAGGACGGGUGCCAGCCGCCGCGGUAAUACCCGCGGCCCGAGUGGUGCUCAUUAUUAUUGAGCCUAAAACGUCCGUAGCCGGUCUCGUAAGUCUUGGGUAAAUCGGGCAGCUUAACUGUCCGAAUUCCGAGGAGACUGCGAGUCUUGGGACCGGGAGAGGUUAGAGGUACUCCAGGGGUAAGGGCUAAAUCUUGUAAUCCUUGGGGGACCACCAGUGGCGAAGGCGUCUAACUAGAACGGAUCCGACGGUAAGGGACGAAACCCUGGGGCGCAAACGGGAUUAGAUACCCCGGUAGUCCAGGGCUUAAACGCUGCAGAUUUGGUGUCGGGGGUCCUACGAGGGCACCCGGUGCCGGAGAGAAGUUGUUAAAUCUGCCGCUUGGGGAGUACGGUCGCAAGACUGAAACUUAAAGGAAUAGGCGGGAGAGCACCGCAACGGGAGGAGCGUGCGGUUCAA
rnacentral:rRNA from 1 species